AUCCCUUGACAACUCCAGAGAUGGAGCGUUCCCUUCGGGGACAAGGUGACAGGUGGUGCAUGGUUGUCGUCAGCUCGUGUCGUGAGAUGUUGGGUUAAGUCCCGCAACGAGCGCAACCCUUAUUACUAGUUGCCAGCAUUCAGUUGGGCACUCUAGUGAGACUGCCGGUGACAAACCGGAGGAAGGUGGGGAUGACGUCAAAUCAUCAUGCCCCUUAUGACCUGGGCUACACACGUGCUACAAUGGCGUAUACAACGAGUUGCCAACCCGCGAGGGUGAGCUAAUCUCUUAAAGUACGUCUCAGUUCGGAUUGUAGGCUGCAACUCGCCUACAUGAAGUCGGAAUCGCUAGUAAUCGCGGAUCAGCACGCCGCGGUGAAUACGUUCCCGGGUCUUGUACACACCGCCCGUCACACCAUGAGAGUUUGUAACACCCAAAGCCGGUGGGGUAACCUUCGGGAGCCAGCCGUCUAAGGUGGGACAGAUGAUUAGGGUGAAGUCGUAACAAGGUAGGCGUAGCGAG
rnacentral:rRNA from 1 species